GAUGAACGCUGACAGAAUGCUUAACACAUCAGCAAUGGAUUGGUGGCGGACGGGUGAGUAACGGGUAAAGCAAUUGCCUCACCGCUUGGGACAACAUUUGGACACGAAUGCUAAUACCUAAUACUGUGAGAGAGAUGUGCGGCCCAUUAGCUAGUUGGAGAGGUAACGGCGCACCCCGGCGAUGAUGGGUAGCCGGCCUGAGAGUGUGAUCGGCUACAAGGGGACUGAGACACGGUCCUUACUCCUACGUGAGGCAGCAGUGGGGAAUAUUGGACAAUGUACCAAAGUCUGAUCCAGGAAUUCUGGGUGCACGAUGAAGUUUUCGGAAUGUAAAGUGCUUUCAGUUUGGAAGCGGUACCAACAGAAGAAGUGACGGCUAAAUACGUGCCAGCAGCCGCGGUAAUUC
rnacentral:rRNA from 1 species